CUUGAGUAGAGCACCAGAGCUUUUAACAACACGUUCCGCAGAAUUAGCAAGAACACGCACAGGCUGCCCAUGUUCCCUGUUUCAUAACAGCGAAAAAUUAAAAGCGGCCGAGAUAUACAACAAAUGCAGAUGGGUCGAAUAAAUUAUGUCCAUAAACUGGAUUUCCUUAAGGCCUUUUAAAAGGGCCUACAAGCCCUGUGCUUGCCCAGCUUCAAGACGGAAGAAAGCCCAGAGUCAGCAACAGAGACGUAAGUGGUGUAAUGGAUGGGGGAGCUUACACGUCUGAAGCAAGGUCCUGGAGCGACACCCGACUGUGUGCGGUGGACGGCGGAGAGGACAUGGCGGCAGUCUUCACUCCCAAGUGGAAGGAGAGGUUACCAGUUAUAGAGGAAUUGAUGUCAGUGCCAUCAUCCGGCCCCUCAGAAAACUUGGGCAAAAAGAACCUCAGAUCUCUGUCACCAGUUUUUCCUUCUCUCUCCACUGCCUCGUUCCUUUUGGCAAAUAUAAAUUCUACCCAAUUUUUUUAGUUUUCUGAGUGAAUGUCACCGUGCAGACAAAGUCCCAGUUUCUUCCCUUUACUGUCAAGUUCCUACAAAGAAUGCAGUUCCAAGCUUGCCUCACAGCAGAGUCACUUGGGGGAAUGUUUAAAGUGAAGUCGGAGUCACCGUGAGCACCACCCCAGGCCCACUGGACCAAAGUCUUCUCUCCAGAGAUUGCUGGAGACCUGUCUUUUCACAACCCCUACCACAGGGACUUAGCUAAUCUGUCUUUUGGGUAGUCCUGUCACCCUCCCUACUCCCCGUCCCCUCCCCACCCAACCGUUUCACCCGUGUUUACGGGGGAAUGAUGCUCAACAAACUCUGGAUACCUUCCCCCAAAAACAAGAGCCUCCAAACCUGACAAGCACUUAGUUAAGUGCCUCUGGGCCUUGCAGCACUGUCAAGAGUCCCCCGCUACACGAGAACCACUGGGGACCCUCUGAGGAACCUAAGGCUCAUGGUCCCAAGGUGAAUCCACUACUGAAUGUCCCCCGCGAGCUGAAUGAAGAGGCCAUGAUUUUAGGGCUUUUCCAACAAUUUAUUAUGAAAACGUAGGAAAAGCUGAAAGAACCAUACAGUUAACAACUAUAUAUUCUAGAUUCUACAACUAUUAAUGUUUUGCUUAGUAUCACGUUUUUCUUAAAAAGAAAAAAAACCAAAAAACCUUUAUCCACCUAUCAAUCCAUCUUAUUUGUUAUGCAUAUCCAGGUUAAGUUGCAGAUACCUGAUUUUAGUUUUUAUAACUCAACACACAACCUAAAAGUUGACUGAAAAACAACACAAAACCUAAAAGUUGAAAAUGGUGUAUUACUUGAGGACAUUAUUGAGGACUAUAGCCUGGAAACAGCCUCUCAGAUAGCUCUGAGGAACUGUUUCAAAGAGGUAAGGGAGGAGCCAGGAUAUAUAGCAGUUUUUGCUGGCGGCGGUGGGGGGUGGUGGUGGAAAGUAAUCAAAUAUCCAAAGAACUACUGCUAAUCACAAACACAGAUAUCUCAAGUAUGGGAAGACGCAAGAGUCUGGGCUCAUUGAAAUCAUUCCUUUGAUACGCAUCUUAACUAUGAGGGGCAUCCCUCCUGAAUGCCCCUCGGGGUGCACAGUUGUUGGGAGGCAGGCAGCUGCAGUGGCUGAUGCCUUGAUGGUGGGCAACGUGUGUUGUUUACUGAAGAGGUCGGCAAUAUUUUUUUGUCUACAAGCUCCAUUUUGCUCUAACUAGCCAAAGCUCAACCUUACUUCAGAUUGCUCCCCACGGUAAAUUCAAAUUUUAAAAAAAACUCAGUGGAGCUUAGAGAUCAUCCAGAAGUGAUAACAAUUCCCAGUUCUUGGGAUUCCAUGCUGGGCCAAACCUCAGGACAACCUUGAAAAAUAGGGGCUGGGUCUAUUUCACAGAUGAAGAAAACUUCCUUGAGAGGUGAAGAGAUUUGCCCAAGGUCACUCUGAUAACUGACCAAGCAGGCCACCACAGGACUCUGGGUUCCAGCCCACUGCCCAGCCACCUCAGCCUGUCAUGGACACAGAGAAGGGUGUUUCACAAUGAUAGGGCUCUGUCCUUGCAAUCACUUGCACUAACACUCAUGCUCACCCUGAAUUAAGCAUUAGUGAUAGCAGCUGGCAAUGUGAUAAAGUGGAAAGGGCUGCUUCAGGACUGGAUUCCUUGGGUUUGAAUUAAGGUUCUGACACAGCAGCAGCUGCUCUGCAGCCAGGAAAAUUAACUCAACCUCAGGGAACCUGCACUUAGGAGUCAGGUUCCAAGAUGCAACCAAGAAAACUGACCUCUGUGGCUUUCAAAAAACAUCGCUAUGAACACAUGUAAAACACUGAGAUUCCGAUAACCAGUAGCCAUUUUAAUAACCAUGAUACAGUCAUUAAAAAUAUUCAAAAUCUCCAAGUUGUAUUAGUCGUCAUUCAAUGCCUUUAUUACCUGUCAAGUUCCUACUAUGUGUCAGAGGCCAGGGAUAUAAGUUCUCUGCACUAGAGAAGCUGUCCUAGUGCAUACCUUUAAACAAAACCUUACAGGCAAUAGGAUAAAGAAUAUUACUAAGGUUAUAAUAGCUGCCGAGAAUAACGACAAACUAUUGAUUGUUGGCUCCUUGCCAGAGGUGGGCUUCACAAUAUAUUACCUUGUAAAAUCCUCAUGAUGGACUUUAGAGGCAGGUAAGAUACACCUCAUUUUAAGGAUGCAAAAAGUAAAGGGCCUAGAGCUUUAACAACUUGUUGGAGGUCAUGGAGAGGCAGCAUCAAAUGUCAAUCUGCACAACCACAAAGCCCCUGAAAUUCUGUCCCUGAAUUUCCAAGUGCUGUGGAUGGAAAGGAGUUGGUUAGCAAGAAACCAAAGAGCAGGGAUCACCAAGGGGAUAUUCUAUGAGCAGGGCCUUGUAAGGUAAGGCUUUGCAGCAAUAGCUAAUGCUUAAACUACAUGCCAGGGCUACCUUAAACGUCAUCACUUAUUUCACCCCGACAACCCUUUAAACCCAUGAAACAGGCUUAUUAUCUCCCCACUUUGUAGAUGAUGAAACUGAGGCCUGGAGAGGUUAAGUCACUUAAGCAAGGUGAUUAUAGUCGAUUACUUCAUUGUUCCCUUCUCUGUAAGCAGAUCAUACACACAGCCCUGCCCACUGUCAAGUGACUGUGGUGCCUCCCUGCAGGGUGAGUGACUUCAUUGUCAGCCGUGGCCAUGUGUCUUGCUUUGACCAAUGGAGUGUAAAUGAACGUGAUCUGCACAGGUCUAGAAGAAGCUUUAAGAGCCAUUGUUCGUGUGGAUGAGCUUCCUGUUCUUUCCCUUGGCCAGGAAAACAGCAGUCCCAAAUUGGGACUGCUCCUUCCACCUGGGUCCCAGACCAAGAGGCCAUGGAGCUGAACUGUAGCAAUGACCCACAGUCCCUGGACAUGUAAUGUGAGUGAAGAAUAUGUUUGUCAAUGUAAGUCACUAGGAUUUGGGGACUGUUUGUUACUAAAGCAGAGCUCUAAGUGAGGGAGUCAGGAUCCUAACCUCAGCAGCUAUAGUUUCAAUGCCAUAAAAUUUACCUCUUU